CAUUCAGUACGCAACGAACUUUGCAAGCAAACGGUUGUCGAUGCUCUCGUCGUAGCCAAUAGGAAUCGCACGCGUCGUCGCUGCCACGUGAAUUUCAACAGGGAAAAAGGAACCCAAAAAUAAGCACGCGCGCGUUACACAUGUGCGCGCCUGCAUGUGUGUGUGUAUGUGUGAGUGACUGUGUCGGUGCGUGUGUGCGUGCAUUUAUUUAUAAGCAGCGGCCAAUGUAAAAGUGUACAACAAAGUUGAGAAAGAUAUAGAAAGCAGAAAAUAAUCCAAAAUCUAUAAAUAAACCAGGCGGCUGCAGUUGACAAAAACAGCAGAAACACAAGAGAUUCGAAAUUAAGCGAAAUGAAAGCGAAAUUCAAAUUCGAACAGCUGCUGGCAGCGAUGCUCUGCUCGCUGCUUGCGUUUGCCGUCGCUGCUGCAUCCGAAGCACAGUCCGGCAACAGCUACGGUGCAUCCUUCAUAUCAAAUCCGGCUAUAUACGCCUAUACCGUUUCCAAUCAGCAGCAGCAACAACAACAACAACAACAGCAACAACAAAGACAAAAUCUCGACAGUCAAAACUUCAUAAACUUCGACACUGGCAAUUCGAAUGCAAAUGUAAAUGGCAAUUACCGCAAUUACUACUACACGGAUUCCAAUGCCACGCCCACGCAGAAUACGCCAGCCGUCAGCGCAGCCCCGGCCGCAGCCACGCAGCCAGCCCCCCUAACGGGCUGCACUCUGGACCGCCUGGCCGUCUAUAAGGUCGUCCUGCACACCUAUUGGACGCGCGAACUCUUCCCCAAGCACUAUCCGGACUGGCGGCCCACUGCCCAGUGGACCAAGACCCUAGGUCGCACACACAAUGCCAACUAUGCGCUAUACCACAUCGGACAGCCGGCAACGGGAGGCGUAAAGCAGUUCGCCGAGACGGGCAAAACUGAGCUGCUGGACAGCAAUGCCGGCGAGCAGCAGCAGCAACAGAUGCAGGCACAGGCACGGGCAACCUCAGCGGCAGCAGCAACCGGUGCUGGUAGUGCCGGAUCUGCUCCUGCAACGGCCGAGCGCAGCGUGUUUGACGAGUUUAGCCUGCCGGCCAUCCAGCUGGGAGCGGGGCGCAGCGAGGCGAAGGUGUUUGUGGACAGCAAUCACAGUUUGGUGUCGCUAAUGACACGCAUUGUGCCCUCGCCGGACUGGUUCAUCGGCGUCGACUCGUUUGAGCUCUGCGUGGGCGGCUCCUGGAUUGAUACGGUGACCGUGGAGCUGGAUCCACUCGAUGCGGGCACCGACAACGGCUUCACCUUCACCGCACCCAACUGGCCAACGGCGCCCCAGGGCGUCAUCUAUCGCAUCACCUCGCGCUAUCCGGCCCAUCCGGCGGGCAGCUUUUACUAUCCGAAGAGCAAGCGCUUGCCGCCCAUCGCCACCUUCCAGUUUAUCAAGCUAAAGGAGUACGAACUGAGCGAAGUAUUCAACAUUGCCGAGGACGAUCGCAAAUAUGAAACAGUUCAGACCCAAACCCACCUCGACGCCGAGCACAAUCACGUGGAGAUGAACAACGAGCUCUCAGCCAGCAUCGAGCGGGAGAGGCAGCGGGACAGGGACUGGGCACUGCAGACACCGUUCACUGAUGAGAGACAGCGCAUUCGCUCCCAGCUGCUGGCCAAAAUGAACCCCAACUACAACAACAACAACAACAGCAACUGCAACAGCAACAGCAACAGCAAACAAAAGCUGCUCUCCAGCCCAACACACUUCAAGGCACAUUACACUACGCCACUGCAAGAAGGUUGCAAGUGGGCCCAAGACACUGACUGAGAGCGAGGCACGUAGCUGGGCUAAUGUUGCAACUUUAAAGAGAACUCGCCCCAAUACCAAAGCAGCAGCAAAGGAAGACAAAGAAGGAAAAUGCUAGUGUUGAGCGAAAGAGACAGCUAAAGAAUACCCUACCAUGAGAUUUAACAAUUCGAUAACUCCGGAUCAGAUUGACUAAAGAUAGUUGAGCGAAAGAGCCUCUCGAGUACCCUACCAUGAGAUAGUUGGAUGAGUAAAUACGUUUCACAAUCCGCAUUAGCAAAUAUAUAUGCAAGUGCAUGAAGUGAUGCUGUGAUGAUGAUCUCCUCACGUCUGUUCAGAUAAAUUUACUCGGUUCCCAUUUUAUUUAAUGGCAGGCCUGGCCUAAGAUCAGUUAUUGGGUUAUAUAUAUAGACAGUCGUCGGCAAAAGGUUUUUUGGUAGAAUAUAAUGUGUGCUUAUUCAUUUAAUAUUACUCGGCAUAUCUGAGUUCUACUAAAUUUGUAAACUUUCAAUUUAUAAUAUCAAUAAAGGUUAAUUGGUUGUCAUCUGCUUAAAAGCGAUUAAUUUAGCACGCAGAUUCUGAUAAGGCUCUUAUGUAAUGAACUGGCCAGUGCUUAAGUUGUUAAUUUCAAUUUUAUAUUAAAUUUCAUCUAAAAUAUACAAUAUUAACAAAUAUUUUUAGUUAAUAUAUUACUUACAAUAUAUUAGGCAAAAAAAAGAAAACAAAAAAAGCCAAAAUUCUCCAAACUGAAAUUUAAGAGUUUCGCUAAGAAAUAUUCGAAUUUUAUAUUGCAUUGAUAAAUUUGCCAUCGACUGCACAUUAAUUAAGUGAUAUAAGAUCCAGCGCAAUUUAUUUACCGUGGCUCGACAGGGUAUACGAAUGGGCUCGAAAAACUUAGUACAGGAUUUCAACUCGACAUAGACAACAGUGUCCUCGACGUGCAGGAUGCGAAGCGCGAAGGCGACAACUAAUCCAGUGCCACGCCCAUCACGAUGCAUCGUGCAACUGGAGUGGAUUUUUGGCACCAUUGGCACUGCUAACCUGCAUAUUUAAUGACAAGCCGAAGCCGGAGCUAAGCAGGAGGCGUUGCACGGCUGGAGGGUGGCUGCGUACGUGUCUGAGUGCCAGCUGGCUAAAGUGCCGAUGGCCAUGCGUGGGCGUGGCUGGCUCGCUUCAACAGCAAUUGGCAAGCUGACAAAAGCGCCAACAGCGCCAAAGCAACCAAAGCAGCCAAAGCAAUGCCAAGCGCCAAAACCUGCUCGGACAGUGUAAUUACUCGCAAUCUUAUCAAUGCCAGCGCGCGCGCCUCCGCUGCUCUGUCUGUCCAUAAAAGCCGAGGCACUCGAAAGCCACCCACAGCACUCACUCGACCCAGCUCUCUGCGGCCACAACAUGUUCGCAUUGGCACCGACUAUCACGCUCAUUGCUAUGAACAGCGCAUGCAACAUGCAGGGGCAGCAACAGCAGCUGCCGGGACGCAUGCAGCAGAUGCAGAUGCAACGCCAACGCGAGCUGCAGCUGGCGAAAACUGAGCGAAAGCAACGGCAGCAGGCAAAGCAGCAGCUGAAAGAAAAUACCAAGAAAACACAUAGAAAGUGGUACAAGAAACUGUUGAAAGGGCACGAGAAAAAAGAACCCGACAUGGAAAAUGCAGAAGAUAAGACAUUGCCAAUUAAAGAAGGAAGCGAAAGAAAAUUAUUCAUGCCUGAUUAAUGAUGAAAAAAGAUUAAAAAGAAUUAAUAUCGAUAUAGAAGCUAAGAAGUUCUGUAGCGAUAACAAUUCUAGAGUCAACACGUAGAGCUUCAAUUCAGUUAAGCAGAUAAUCUAACUGUAUCUCAAUAGUAUUCUAUUAUUUUAAAAGUAGAGCAAUGAUAUAAAAGCAAUUCAAAUAAUAUAGAAAUUGAGCAAGUGAAAAAUCUGUAAAAUAUUUAUGCGCAGAUAUAAAGAAACAGAGAAAAAUCUUAUAUUGAUUGACUUGGGUUUUACUAUAUUUAGAAGGUUGUUUUUAUAGAAAAUAACCAAUAAAUAACCAAAUAUACGCAGCACACUAAAACGAUAACAUCAAGCAAGAGAUCCCCAAGAGAAGCAACGAAAAUUCCCAGAAAACUCAAUUCCACUUCCAUUUAUAUAUAACGAACGAUAUAAGAAAAAAAAAUAGAAUGCAAUA